rnacentral:rRNA from 1 species
AACGAACGCUGGCGGCAGGCCUAACACAUGCAAGUCGAACGAGUAAGAGCCGUAGCAAUACGGAGUUCUGCUAGUGGCGCACGGGUGAGUAACGCGUGGGAACGUGCCUUGGAGUUCGGGAUAACAGUUGGAAACGACUGCUAAUACCGAAUAUUCCCUCAGGGGGAAAGAUUUAUCGCUCCAAGAUCGGCCCGCGUAAGAUUAGGUAGUUGGUGGGGUAAUGGCCUAACCAAGCCUACGAUCUUUAGCUGGUCUGAGAGGACGACCAGCCAACACUGGAACUGAGACACGGUCCAGACUCCUAGGGAGGCAGCAGUGGGGAAUAUUGGAC